rnacentral:rRNA from 1 species
UACGGAAGGCAGCAGUGGGGAAUAUUGCACAAUGGGCGCAAGCCUGAUGCAGCCAUGCCGCGUGUAUGAAGAAGGCCUUCGGGUUGUAAAGUACUUUCAGUCGUGAGGAAGGUGUUAAGGUUAAUAACCUUAGCAAUUGACGUUAGCGACAGAAGAAGCACCGGCUAACUCCGUGCCAGCAGCCGCGGUAAUACGGAGGGUGCGAGCGUUAAUCGGAAUUACUGGGCGUAAAGGGCACGCAGGCGGUUAAUUAAAUUGGAUGUGAAAUCCCCGGGCUUAACCUGGGAAUGGCAUUCAAGACUGGUUAGCUAGAGUCUUGUAGAGGGGGUAGAAUUCCAUGUGUAGCGGUGAAAUGCGUAGAGAUGUGGAGGAAUACCGGUGGCGAAGGCGGCCCCUGGACAAAGACUGACGCUCAUGUGCGAAAGCGUGGGGAGCAAACGAGGGAUUAGAUACC